CGAGGUGAAACCUAAUUGGCCUGAAGAAGAGCUUGCGUCUGAUUAGCUAGUUGGUGGGGUAAAGGCCUACCAAGGCGACGAUCAGUAGCUGGUCUGAGAGGAUGAGCAGCCACACUGGGACUGAGACACGGCCCAGACUCCUACGGGAGGCAGCAGUGGGGAAUUUUCCGCAAUGGGCGAAAGCCUGACGGAGCAACGCCGCGUGAGGGAGGAAGGUCUUUGGAUUGUAAACCUCUUUUCUCAAGGAAGAAGUUCUGACGGUACUUGAGGAAUCAGCCUCGGCUAACUCCGUGCCAGCAGCCGCGGUGAUACGGGGGAGGCAAGCGUUAUCCGGAAUUAUUGGGCGUAAAGCGUCCGCAGGUGGUCAGCCAAGUCUGCU
rnacentral:rRNA from 1 species